AAUGAACGCUGGCGGCAGGCCUAACACAUGCAAGUCGAACGGAUCCUUCGGGAUUAGUGGCGGACGGGUGAGUAACGCGUGGGAACAUACCCUUUGGUACGGAAUAGCCUCGGGAAACUGGGAGUAAUACCGUAUGUGGUCGAGAGACGAAAGAUUUAUCGCAAAAGGAUUGGCCCGCGUUGGAUUAGGUAGUUGGUGGGGUAAUGGCCUACCAAGCCGACGAUCCAUAGCUGGUUUGAGAGGAUGAUCAGCCACACUGGGACUGAGACACGGCCCAGACUCCUACGGGAGGCAGCAGUGGGGAAUCUUAGACAAUGGGUGAAACCCUGAUCUAGCCAUGCCGCGUGAUCGAUGAAGGCCUUAGUGUUGUAGAGAUCUUUCAGGUGGGAAGAUAAUGACUGUACCACCAGAAGAAGCCCCGGCUAACUCCGUGCCAGCCGCCGCCGUAA
rnacentral:rRNA from 1 species